UCCAGACUCCUACGGGAGGCAGCAGUGAGGAAUAUUGGUCAAUGGUCGGGGGACUGAACCAGCCAAGCCGCGUGAGGGAUGAAGGUACAGAGUAUCGUAAACCUCUUUUGUCAGGGAACAAAGGCGGGGACGUGUCCCCGGAUGAGUGUACCUGAAGAAAAAGCAUCGGCUAACUCCGUGCCAGCAGCCGCGGUAAUACGGAGGAUGCGAGCGUUAUCCGGAUUUAUUGGGUUUAAAGGGUACGCAGGCGGCGAGUUAAGUCAGGGUUAAAAUGUCGGGGCACAACCCCGACAAGCCGUUGAAACUGGCUUGUUAGAGUGGGCGAGAAGUAUGCGGAAUGCGUGGUGUAGCGGUGAAAUGCAUAGAUAUCACGCAGAACUCCGAUUGCGAAGGCAGCAUACCGGCGCCCAACUGACGCUCAGGCACGAAAGCGUGGGUAUCGAACAGGAUUAGAUACCCGUGUA
rnacentral:rRNA from 1 species